AUUGAACGCUGGCGGCAGGCCUAACACAUGCAAGUCGAGCGAGCGGCGGACGGGUGAGUAAAGUAUGGGGACUGCCCGAUAGAGGGGGAUAACUACUGGAAACGGUAGCUACUCACGCAUACUAUCGGAUAACCCAUAUGUGCUUAGCUAGUAGGUGAGGUAAUGGCUCACUGAGGCGACGAUCCCUAGCUGGUCUGAGAGGAUGAUCAGCCACACUGGGACUGAGACACGGCCCAGACUCCGACGGAGGCAGAAGUGGGUAAUAUUGCAAAAUGGGCGAAGGCCGGAUGCAGCCAUGCCGGGUGUAUGAAGAAGGCCCGAGGGUUUUAAAGUACUUUAAGUCGGGAGGCGUUACCGACAGAAGAAGCACCGGCUAACUACGUGCCAGCAGCCGCGGUAAUUC
rnacentral:rRNA from 1 species